UACGUAGGGUGCGAGCGUUAAUCGGAAUUACUGGGCGUAAAGCGUGCGCAGGCGGUUUGCUAAGACCGAUGUGAAAUCCCCGGGCUUAACCUGGGAACUGCAUUGGUGACUGGCAGGCUAGAGUAUGGCAGAGGGGGGUAGAAUUCCACGUGUAGCAGUGAAAUGCGUAGAGAUGUGGAGGAAUACCGAUGGCGAAGGCAGCCCCCUGGGCCAAUACUGACGCUCAUGCACGAAAGCGCGGGGAGCAAACAGG
rnacentral:rRNA from 1 species